UCGAAACAUUUCUUAUACGUGGUUCAAAAAUAACGAAGAAAUAUUAAUUAAUGAAACUCGCAACUCGAAAUAUGUGUUUAAGAAAUCUAAAUACAAUAUCAAACUAACGAUACUCGAACCGACGGUCCAUGAUACGGAUGUGUACAGCGUUACUGUCCAUGCUGGAGACGCAUCAAAACGCUGCAAUGUAUCGGUUUUCGCAUACGCUAAGCCAACGGUGGAGCUGACUAGUAUUGAAGCGGGACCGAACGAAACUGUCCAAUAUGUAUGCAGUAGUACAGGUUAUCCUUUGCCAGAGAUACAGCUUUGGUUUAAACCUUGCGAUGAUGUCCCUUGGCAGAACUGUUCCAUAGAGGAGACACGGUCAACAGGGUGGAAUGAGACUGCGAACGAGCGGAAGAAUACGUUGAUUUCAUCGUCUCGCGUCUACAUAGCUGCAGCCAAUCAGCCAGGUGUGGUGUAUUGUGCAGCUCAAAAUUCGGAGGGAAAUAAAACUGUGCAAGCGGAUUUGCU